CGUGUGGUGUGUGGGAAGGAAGCUCGUCCUCCCGGACGGGUGCUUGCUUGCCAGGGCAAGCACUGUAUCCUCAAAGAGCUUAAAACAAAACUAGAAUUAAAGUUAAAGGAAUGUCAUGCCUUCUUCACUCACCUACAGGUCUCCCACUUACCCCUCGAAAUAUCCGUAAGAGAGUCAUCCUCGCCACAGUCGACCAUUUGGUUAACUUCAGUCGCUGCAGGAAGUGUUUCACCUUCUGAUAAAGAUGUCGUGACAGAGGUCUGAUAGAGUUUUCACGAUCAGCUUGUCACGAUAAUGUUUUGAUAAACCCACUUUUAUCCUUAGAAUAACAAAGACUCGUUGAUUUUAGAAUAUUUGUUUGUGUACAAAUACUAUGACGCUUUUGUGGUUUUGAUAUCUUGUUUAUUCUGUCGUAAUUAUACGUAUUAUUGGCUUCAUUCUGACGAUUCUGGAGUACCCAUUGUGCACAAAAAUACGCUUCUAUGGUUCUGGUAGUCUAUUAAGUUAACUGUGAAUAGUUUUAUUCAAAGUAUUAUAUAUCUCAGGCAUUUUGGUGUUUAUCGCGUCAAUCUGCCCUCAAAAUUAUUUAAGAAUGAAAUAUAGACUAAUUGUCUCAUAUCAAAUAAUUUGUGAAUAUUACUUAAUGACAAGGUUAAGUGCGAAAAUAUUGUAAUCUAGGUAAUUCAUAGUGAUGUAUCAUAAUGGGUUGUAGAAAAUGAUGUAUCAUAAUGGGUUGUAGAAAAUGCCCUAUCAUUUUGGGUCAUUCCAAGACCUAGUCUUCGGGUAAUUCUUGUGCCUUAUUAUAUUUUGGUAGGUCUUAGUGUCUUAGCCGUUUCCGACCCAUUUUUCUCGGAAGUAAAAUUUCAGUGUUAUUUUGUUUUCCCCUUGAUUGUGAAAAUAGUCUCAACUGUAGAUGAUGUAAGAUAUCUAAUUCAGUAUUAUUAGGAAUAUUAAAAAGUGACUUUAGUUCUCAUGUGUCGCAAUUAAGAAUAAUUAUUAUUUUGAUUCAGUUGUACAGAGCUCAUUUUUAAUGUGAACAUAUAUCUUCAUUAUAAUUAAUUUCUAUAGAAAACCUAAGUAAUUUGUGCAGAAAGGUAAUUGUUUAUAUAUAUACACCGUAGACUACUAUUUUCAAAUGUAUACUAAACUGUCAUUUGUUCGUAAUAUUUACAUAGUGUUAUAUUUUAUAUUUUAAUAGUGUUCAAUCCAGAAACAUGACUGUAUGUAUUUACAUAUUUUUGUAAUAAAGUUAUUCUCAUAA